AACGAACGCUGGCGGCAUGCCUAACACAUGCAAGUCGAACGAGACCUUCGGGUCUAGUGGCGCACGGGUGCGUAACGCGUGGGAACCUGCCCUUAGGUUCGGAAUAACUCCCCGAAAGGGGUGCUAAUACCGGAUCAUGUCUUCGGACCAAAGAUUUAUCGCCUUUGGAUGUGCCCGCGUUGGAUUAGCUAGUUGGUAGGGUAAAAGCCUACCAAGGCGACGAUCCAUAGCUGGUCUGAGAGGAUGAUCAGCCACACUGGGACUGAGACACGGCCCAGACUCCUACGGGAGGCAGCAGUGGGGAAUAUUGGACAAUGGGCGAAAGCCUGAUCCAGCAAUGCCGCGUGAGUGAUGAACGCCUUAGGGUUGUAAAGCUCUUUUACCCGGGAUGAUAAUGACAGUACCGGGAGAAUAAGCUCCGGCUAACUCCGUG
rnacentral:rRNA from 1 species